UACGUAGGGAGCAAGCGUUGUCCGGAAUCAUUGGGCGUAAAGCGCGCGUAGGCGGCCUUGUAAGUCCGUUGUGAAAGUCAAAGGCUCAACCUUUGAAAGCCGAUGGAUACUGCAAGGCUGGAGUCCGGAAGAGGAGAGUGGAAUUCCUGGUGUAGCGGUGAAAUGCGCAGAUAUCAGGAAGAACACCCGCGGCGAAGGCGGCUCUCUGGGACGGUACUGACGCUGAGACGCGAAAGCGUGGGGAGCGAACAGG
rnacentral:rRNA from 1 species